CUCCGGGAUUGGUUCUCGCUGGUGCAGCAGCGGAAUUUGUUGGUGCGGCGACAGGACCAGCUGCAGCUGCUGGCGCAGGAGCGGGACCUGGAGCGGCGCUUCGAGCUCCUGAGCCGGGAACUGCGGGGGCUGCUGGGGACAGAGGAGUGGCAGAAGCCCCCGGCCCAGCGCCAGCGCGAGCAGCUCUUACUGGAGGAACUGGUGGAACUGGUGAACCGGCGGGACCGGCUGGUGCGGGACCGGCACCGCCGCGAGACCAGGGCGCAGGAGGAGGAUGAGGAGCUGGAGCGGAGCCUCGACCCCCGGCGCCGCCGCUUCGGCCGCAGGGAAACGUGCGGGAUCUGCUGAGGGACCCCCGGAACCCCCCCCGGGACCCCCAAAACCCCGGGAUAUCUCCCGGGACCCCCAAAACCCCGGGACACCCCCCAGGACCCUCAAAAUCCCCCAGGACCCCCGCGGGAGCCCACCGGUACCGCCCCCCGAUCCCAGCGGACGCGGCAAUAAAGGAGAUUUUCUGUGUGAAAUACGA